CAAUAGCGUAUAUUAAAGUUGUUGCGGUAAAAAAGCUCGUAGUUGGAUUUCUGUUGAGAGCGACCGGUCCAUACCAUGUAUGCGUAUCUGGCUUGCUCUCGGCAUCCUCUCGAUGGACGUUACUGCGCUUGAUUGCGUGGUGCGGAUCUCGGGACUUUUACUUUGAGGAAAUUAGAGUGUUCACGGCAGGCUUUCGCCAGAAUACAUUAGCAUGGAAUAAUACUAUAGGAUCUUGGUUCUAUUUUGUUGGUUUCUAGAAUUGAGAUAAUGAUUAAUAGGGACAAUUGGGGGCAUUCGUAUCAACACGUCAGAGGUGGAAUUCUUGGAUUGUGUUGCGACGAACUACUGCGAAAGCAUUUGCCAAGGAUGUUUUCAUUGA
rnacentral:rRNA from 1 species